UAAGGCAAUUAUAGCGUAAGGGCUCCACCUCAUCCCAUUCCGAACUGAGAAGUUAAACCUUACAUCGCCGAUGGUACUGCCAACGCGGGAGAGUAGGAAGUUGCCACUU
rnacentral:rRNA from 1 species